GAUGAACGCUGACAGAAUGCUUAACACAUGCAAGUCGAUGGGGAAGUGGUGCUUGCACCCUGGCAACCAUGGCGGACGGGUGAGUAACGCGUAAGGGACUUACCUGCAGGACUGGGAUAACAGUGGGAAACUCCUGACAAGACCGGAUAAUGUCAUGGAGCUGCAUGGCUUUCUGAUGAAAGGAGACGCCUGCGGAGAGCCUUGCGUCCUAUUAGCUAGUUGGUGAGGUAAUGGCUCACCAAGGCGAAGAUAGGUAGCCGGCCUGAGAGGGUGGACGGCCACAAGGGGACUGAGAUACGGCCCUUACUCCUACGGGAGGCAGCAGUGGGGAAUAGUGGACAAUGGGGGCAACCCUGAUCCAGCAAUUCUGUGUGCACGAAGAAGGUUUUCGGAUUGUAAAGUGCUUUCAGCAGGGAAGAAGUAAGUGACGGUACCUGCAGAAGAAGCGACGGCUAAAUACGUG
rnacentral:rRNA from 1 species